CUUAUCCCUCCUGGAACAUCAACCCUGUUACAUAUCUUAGUAUCAUCAGCAAAAAGACAUACCUUACCAUCAAGACGUUCUGCAAUAUCACUAAUAAAAAUAUUAAAGAGAAUGGGUCCAAGUACAGAUCCCUGAGGUACCCCACUGGUGACAAGUCCAAGCUUCGAAUAUAUUCCAUUAACUACAACCCUCUGUUGCCUGUCACUCAGCCACUGCCUUACCCAUUCAAC